rnacentral:rRNA from 1 species
AUUGAACGCUGGCGGCAUGCCUUACACAUGCAAGUCGAACGGCAGCACGGGAGCAAUCCUGGUGGCGAGUGGCGAACGGGUGAGUAAUAUAUCGGAACGUGCCCAGUCGUGGGGGAUAACGUAGCGAAAGCUACGCUAAUACCGCAUACGAUCUAUGGAUGAAAGCGGGGGGUCGCAAGACCUCGCGCGAUUGGAGCGGCCGAUAUCAGAUUAGCUAGUUGGUGGGGUAAAAGCCCACCAAGGCGACGAUCUGUAGCUGGUCUGAGAGGACGACCAGCCACACUGGAACUGAGACACGGUCCAGACUCCUACGGGAGGCAGCAGUGGGGAAUUUUGGACAAUGGGCGCAAGCCUGAUCCAGCAAUGCCGCGUGCAGGAUGAAGGCCUUCGGUUGUAACUAGCUUUGUUACGGAACGAACGGUAGAGCUCUAAUAAUUAGUCUAAUGACGGUACCGUAACGAAUAAGACACCGGCGUAACUACGUAGCCAGCACG